GCGCUUAUGGUGAAAGUGGAAUCACACUCGGUUUGAUGAACCGGGAGUUCAAGGUUCGAUCCCUUGUAGGCGCUCCA
rnacentral:tRNA from 1 species